UACGUAGGUGGCAAGCGUUGUUCGGAAUUAUUGGGCGUAAAGGGCGCGUAGGCGGCCUGUUAAGUCGGCUGUGAAAGCCCGGGGCUCAACCUCGAGACGUCGGUUGAAACCGCUUGGCUAGAGUCCGGAAGAGGAGAGUGGAAUUCCCGGUGUAGCGGUGAAAUGCGCAGAUAUCGGGAAGAACACCCGUGGCGAAGGCGGCUCUCUGGGACGGUACUGACGCUGAGACGCGAAAGCGUGGGGAGCGAACAGG
rnacentral:rRNA from 1 species